GGUAUAGCUCAGUUGGUAGAGUGCUUGUCUCAGAAGCACAAGGCCCUGGGUUCAAUCCCCAGAACCA
rnacentral:tRNA from 1 species